GUCAUGCCCUUUGCAAACUCCUCACCAAUUCGCAACUUCGCAAUGCCCCAAACCUAAUAGCCAAAAUCCCAGACCUUCCUAUGAGUUCUCCUCCGCAAGUUCUUCUUCUCGUCUAAUCACCCAGUUCGCUUGCAAAAAUCUCAACUCUUCCCCACCCAAGUUCUUCUCUUGGGCUAUCGGAUUUCGCGACAGGGGUUGUGCAUGUGUUCAAUCGAGGACGAAGAGAACAUCUCAGAUUGUGAUUUCUAAUCAUAAAUUCAGAUGCGAUGGAGUUUCUGAACUUGGUAGAUGACUCGGUUCAAGCAUAUCAAACUCUUAUGCACGAUUUGGAUGAGUUUCUGAAGAACUAUGACAAGUAGCUCUAGACUCAAAUCGAUGCGAUGCCCAGCCACCAUUCCCUCAAACUUUAGCGAGAAACCCCAACAAGCGUCGUCAUCUCCACCCCUCUUUAUUGUCUCGCGCUGGUGAAAUUGGUAGAGUUGUUCAAGCGGUGCCGAUUGGAAGUACCAUAAGUAUUUUCUUGAGUUUGCUGCAAAAACAGGGGUUUAAAAGCUAAGAACAUAUUCUCUAGGUAUGUUAUUAAGCUUGAUACACUCAAUCCAUAUAUAAAGUUAAAAUUGAGGUAAUAUAUUCGGUUCCCAUCUCCAUCAUCAUUACAAUCUAUUCCACUUCAAAUUUUCUCUGUGCCUCAGUAGAAUAUGAUAGGUUAAGUAUUAUCUUGCAAUUGGAGUUUUUCUUUGUUACCAUCUGCAUGGGUCCAAUGUUUGGUUUAUUAGCUAGAUAAGUACUCUUCUAAUUUCCUUGCUGGUUGCUUUGGAAGAUGAUAAAAAGCUUUUCAAUUAUUUUGAUAUGUGUUGUUUAGUCAUCCAUGUUCAGGAAGACAUAAACUAAAGGGGCAGGCAAUGGGAUCCUCCAUAUGCUCUUUGCUCUCCAGGUUGAGAUUUAUGUUUUUGUAUUUCUACAACAAUCAUGUAGUGAUAUUUUUCAACCCCUUAUGUUUCCUACAUUUUUUUGACACGUACUGGGUAGCACUAACAACCAAAGUUUGUCUUUGGUGGGUAUUAUCUUUUCAAAAGAAUGUACCUAAUAGUUUGAAACUUCAUAUUUUUAUUAGAAGGUGGAGGGGGUGAAUGGUUUGGUUUCGAAACUUGUUGUUGUAGCAAUGUAAGAGAAGCCACACUUGACAAAUGUGAAGCAUUAGUGUGCAGCAGCUCUGUAUGUAUAAUAAUGUGGCCAUAUGUUUUAACAAACAGUGAAAAUACUCUUCUUUAGUAACUCAAUAUUCAAUUAGAUUUCAAACUCUAGCUUGUAUAUUCGUCAGUCGUAACUAUGAAUGACUAAUGGGAUCAAUAAUAACAUGUUUGCUUCCACGGGGUGGAGCAGGGCAGAUCCUAUUUUCCUAGAGGUCAUGGAUCUGAUCAAGGGUCUUUCUGUAACAGACUAAAAUAUGAACACAAGAACUUAGUGUGCAGCAGCUCUGUAGGAGAAUGUCCUAAGACAUACUGGGGAACUAUAGUAAAUAAUAGGUUGAGAAUGAUGUGGUAACUUUUUCUUGUGUUCUUAAAUUAAUGUGGCAACUUUUGCUUCUGUUAUGCUCACUAUCUAUUUCCUUUAAGCUUCAUAGUUAGCACCAUCAUGAGUGUGAUUCACUUCAUAUAGUUCCUGGCACAUCACGUAAAGCUUUCUCUUUGCUUGUUUUUCUUUUUGUUGUCUUCUGGCAAGUUAAGUAUCUUAUGUAUUUCAAUUAUAGCAUUUCAGAAACUCUCUGAACUUUAUGUCCAUAUGAGGUAGAAAAGCUUGAAUAUGUGACUCAAAGAUCAUCAAAGAAAAAAUUCCUUGCAAAAGGCCAUUUUUCUUGUAGUGUAAAGGAAUCUGAUGGGGUAUAUGGACCAGCAUGGCACUGCAUUGUAGGAACAAAUUUUGGGUCUUUUGUCACACACUCAGCUUACUCAUCCAGCCUGAUAGAUGUAGAAAAGGAUUAUCUUUCAAUGGAUAAACGAUAUCCCAGGCUCUUUAUACCCUCAGAAUUCUGCAAGGCUGUGGCCAAGGGAGAAUCUUCAACUUUCUAUCCAGACUCCUGUCAGGUAUCAUGAUUCUGACGUUGUCUUGGCCAAGUUAUUUUCAAAAGAUCAUAUCUUGCUUCAGGAUAUGGAAUCCUUUAGCUUCUUUGAAAAACACAUAUUAGUGCUUUGCAUAUUAUUAUUAUUUUUUAUUUUUCUCAAAG